UACGUAGGGUGCAGGCGUUAAUCGGAAUUACUGGGCGUAAAGCGUGCGCAGGCGGUUUCUUAAGUCAGAUGUGAAAGCCCCGGGCUUAACCUGGGAACUGCGUUUGAAACUGGGAGACUUGAGUGUAGCAGAGGGGGGUGGAAUUCCACGUGUAGCAGUGAAAUGCGUAGAGAUGUGGAGGAACACCGAUGGCGAAGGCAGCCCCCUGGGCUGAGAUUGACGCUCAGGCACGAAAGCGUGGGGAGCAAACAGG
rnacentral:rRNA from 1 species